GGGAUCUAUUGAAAAAAAAUGGGUGCAGGGACCCCUCUCCCACAUUUGCCAACCAAUCCUUAAUUUGGGGUUUGGCCAUUUCAGUGUUCUGCUCAGCAUUCCCUUUUUUGCACUGAAUGCAUCUCAU